CAGGGCUUGACAUGCCAUUGACUGGUCUAGAGAUAGAUCUUUACCUUCGGGUACAAUGGACACAGGUGGUGCAUGGUUGUCGUCAGCUCGUGUCGUGAGAUGUUGGGUUAAGUCCCGCAACGAGCGCAACCCUUGCCUUUAGUUGCAAACAGUUAGGCUGUGCACUCUAGAGGGACUGCCGAUGAUAAAUCGGAGGAAGGUGGGGAUGACGUCAAAUCAUCAUGCCCUUUAUGUCCUGGGCUACACACGUGCUACAAUGGUCGGUACAACGAGCAGCUACACAGCGAUGUGAUGCAAAUCUCUUAAAGCCGAUCCCAGUUCGGAUUGCAGGCUGCAACUCGCCUGCAUGAAGUCGGAGUUGCUAGUAAUCGCGAAUCAGAAUGUCGCGGUGAAUGCGUUCCC
rnacentral:rRNA from 1 species